UACGGAGGGUGCGAGCGUUGUUCGGAAUUACUGGGCGUAAAGCGCGUGUAGGCGGCCUCCUCAGUCUGAUGUGAAAGCCCGGGGCUCACCCCCGGAAGUGCAUUGGAUACUGGGAGGCUGGAGUACCGGAGAGGAGGGUGGAAUUCCUGGUGUAGCGGUGAAAUGCGUAGAUAUCAGGAGGAACACCGGUGGCGAAGGCGGCCCUCUGGACCGAUAUUGACGCUGAGACGCGAAAGCGUGGGGAGCAAAC
rnacentral:rRNA from 1 species